rnacentral:lncRNA from 1 species
UGAACAAACCUCGAGCUGUAGAUUGGUAUAAUUUUUAAGCUGAAGUUUGAUCUUAAGUUCCCCUCGAACAAAACAGUAAGUGAACUUCUUAAACUUUUUUUCUUCUGUAGGUGCCAAUCUAAGGUAGGGAAAAUAGCUUCUUCUUCAGAUGAUUUCACAGUGAGAAAGGCAAUCAUUGUAGAAUGCCUUUUUCACUCUUUUCUUUUUGCUCGUGAAAUGCAUCUAGCAACAUCUUUAAUUUGACUAAUGCAGGUGUGCUUUGGGAAUAUCGAAAAUAAUGGUUACUCAACAUCUAGAUCUCCAUCUUCCCUCUGAAGGAGAGUAAUGGCAUAGUCGACAAUGGAAUGCAAAAAGCUUUUCGGAUGAAGAACCAGUUGGACAUAAAAAAGGCUCUAGAAGUUCAUCAUCAAAUGAAGAAUUGCACCUAAUUAACUCAACCAAUUAUCAUAAAAUGCCUCAGUUUGGUACUCCUAAAUCCCAAAAGAAUAUAUUCUCAUCAUAUUUAUUUAUUCAAAGACAAAUAUGCCCUUAAAGAGAGGAUGACAUGCAUAAAGGGAGUUAAGUGAAAAAUAUCUUCAAGAAAAGAAUUGCAAUGUCAAUUUAUGGUGGUAGAAAGUAAGAACAGUCUGGGGCAAACGUAUUGUCAAUUUACUGGGUUGGAUGGUUCUUUGGUGGCAUUAGAAAGCGAUGGUAGUUGGCGAUCAUAUUUUGUUGAUGGAAUGGUGUGAUGCACAACAUGAACAAUAGUCAUUGAUGCUGGUUGAUUGAAGAUAUUGAGUAGUGGAGACCCUGUUUGUUUUUUGUGUAGGCGUUGGUGGUUGGUGGUAAGCAAUGUGGUGCUUGUCGUUGGGGAUGCAAAUACCAACUCUUGGGUGGAAAGGAGAGGGAGCACCUUGUGCAUUUGUCUCUUUAGGGGUUGUUUGGAUACCGGAUAGCAUCAGGGGAUGAGUUUUAGAGGGGGAUAACUUUUAACUUUGUUUGGAUACUUUUUAGAAUUGAUGGAUAAGGGUGGGGAUAAGGAAGAAAAUAUAUAUAUAGAGAAACAAAAUGUAAAAUAUCUAGAUAUUAAAAAUAUAUAUAUACAUAUAUAAAUAACUAAUAUAAAAAUAUUCAUACAUAUAAUAUAUAUAAACAUAUAUAUAUAUAUACACGGUAAAGAGAGAGAGACGCAUGCGGAAUAAUUCACUGUCUCGUUCCUGACCGGUCUAGCAUCGUUCUCGACUGGUCGGGAACGGUAAAUCUGCAAUCCUCCCUGAUAACUUUUGGGGAGGGUGAGGGCCACCCAAAAAUUAUUAGCCUUUAUCCGCCUGCUGGGGGAAAGGUUAUCCGGUGAAAAAGUUAUCCGGGAGACAUUUCUCCAUCCAAACGUGGAUAGAGGGAAAAAGAAGGGGAAAAAGUUAUCCAGAUGGGCUAUCCUCCAGCCAAACAGCCUCUUAAGGACAUAUUUAUAUUUGAAAUUUGAAUAUAUAAAUGUGUUAGGACAAAAUGGGACUUAUAAAAAAUAAAAAUGAUUAGGACGAUACCUAUAAUUAAAAGGGAGGUCACUGUU